CUUAUUAGAUCCACGACAGACGAU
rnacentral:siRNA from 1 species